UACGGGGGGGGUAAGCGUUGUUCGGAAUUAUUGGGCGUAAAGGGCUCGUAGGCGGUCUGUUGCGUCAGGAAUGAAAACUCGGGGCUUAACCCCGAGCCUGCUUCUGAUACGGGCAGACUAGAGGUAUGCAGGGGAGAACGGAAUUCCCGGUGUAGCGGUGAAAUGCGCAGAUAUCAGGAGGAACACCGGUGGCGAAGGCGGUUCUCUGGGCAUUACCUGACGCUGAGGAGCGAAAGUGUGGGGAGCGAACAGG
rnacentral:rRNA from 1 species